rnacentral:lncRNA from 1 species
GUUGAGCCCAAGGAAUGGUAAGUUUCAUAAAGAGCAUGUUAGUCAAGAAGGCAAUGGCUGGCGACUGCUGGGCUUCCCUACAAGGCUCAUGUUUGCAGAUGAAAUAGGCACGCUAACAGCCAGAGCUUAACUGCUCAGGCAACAGAAGGGACUUUUAAAAGUAGUUCAUCAAAAGAGCAAAGACGAGAAAGCAGGGUGUUCCUGGCGUAAGAGACGCGGAAGGAUUCCACGGGGAUGG